UACGAAGGGGGCUAGCGUUGUUCGGAAUUACUGGGCGUAAAGCGCACGUAGGCGGAUAUUUAAGUCAGGGGUGAAAUCCCGGAGCUCAACUCCAGAACUGCCUUUGAUACUGAAGAUCUUGAGUUCGGGAGAGGUGAGUGGAACUGCGAGUGUAGAGGUGAAAUUCGUAGAUAUUCGCAAGAACACCAGUGGCGAAGGCGGCUCACUGGCCCGAUACUGACGCUGAGGUGCGAAAGCGUGGGGAGCAAACAGG
rnacentral:rRNA from 1 species